ACUCAGUUUUUCUCUUCUUGAAGUUUCAAUAAUCUUCCAUUAACAAGUGUUAGCAAUCAUUAACAGCAGCAAAAGAGGAUAAGAUGAAGUUGGAUGUUAACGUUUUGAGAUACCUUUCGAAAGAUGAUUUCAGGGUCCUUACUGCCGUUGAGAUGGGAAUGCGCAAUCAUGAGAUUGUGCCUUGUGAGCUCAUUGACCGGAUUGCUCGCCUCAAGCAUGGAGGCACAUAUAAAGUGUUGAAGAAUUUGCUAAAGCACAAAUUAGUGCAUCAUGACUCUUCUAAAUAUGAUGGAUUUCGACUCACCUACCUUGGUUAUGAUUUCCUUGCGAUAAAGACUUUGGUUAAUCGUGGGAUGUUUAAUGGAGUGGGUCGUCAAAUUGGUGUUGGAAAAGAGUCUGAUAUUUUUGAGGUUGUAAAGGAAGAUGGCACAGUUCUUGCAAUGAAGUUGCACAGACUUGGUAGGGUUUCUUUUAGGGCAGUCAAAUCGAAACGUGACUAUUUGAGGCAUCGUAGUAGCUACAAUUGGCUGUACUUGUCCCGACUUGCUGCUUUGAAAGAGUUUGCUUUUAUGAAGGCACUAGAAGAACAUGGAUUUCCUGUUCCUCAGGCUGUGGAUUGCAACCGACAUUGUGUGAUUAUGUCACUUGUCCCAGGCUAUCCACUUGUGCAGGUUAGGGAGCUGCAAAACCCAGAUGUGGUUUUUGAAACAAUCAUCGCUGCUGUUAUUCGUUUGGCAGAACACGGGCUUAUUCACUGUGAUUUUAAUGAAUUUAACAUAAUGAUUGAUGAUGAUGAAAAGGUCACCAUAAUUGAUUUCCCACAAAUGGUGUCAGUCUCUCA
rnacentral:misc_RNA from 1 species